GGGUUGCUAACUCAACGGUAGAGUACUCGUAUUUAACAAGUAAAUAGUCUAUUCCAUC
rnacentral:tRNA from 1 species